GUAGGGAAUAUUGGGCAAUGGAAGGAAUUCUGACCCAGCCAUGCCGCGUGCAGGAAUACAGUCCUAUGGACUUUAAACUGCUUUUAUUAUAGAGUAACCUGGGGGACGUGUCCCCCACUGCAAGUAUAUAAUGAAUAAGCAUCGGCUAACUCCGUGCCAGCAGCCGCGGUAAUACGGGGGAUGCAAGCGUUAUCCGGAUUUAUUGGGUUUAAAGGGUGCGCAGGCUGAUCGGUAAGUCAUGGGUGAAAAGUCACUGCUUAAUAGUGAUCGUGCCUAUGAUACUGCCGGACUAGAGUUUAAGAGGUGUAACUGGAAUGUGAUGUGUAGCGGUGAAAUGCUUAGAUAUGUCACAGAACGCCAAUCGUGAAGACAGGUUACAAACUUAAUACUGACGCUCAUGCACGAAAGCGUGGGGAUCAAACAGGAUUAGAUACCCGUGUAGUCC
rnacentral:rRNA from 1 species